GAUGAAGAACGUAGCGAAAUGCGAUAAGUAAUGUGAAUUGCAGAAUUCAGUGAAUCAUCGAAUCUUUGAACGCACCUUGCGCUCUUUGGUAUUCCGAAGAGCAUGCCUGUUUGAGUGUCAUGAAAAUAUCAACCUUGACUUGGGUUUUGUGCUCUAGUCUCGGCUUGGAAUUGGGUGCUUGCCGCUUUUACGAGCGGCUCACCUUAAAUGUAUUAGCUGGAUCUGUCUUUGAGACUUGGUUUGACUUGGCGUAAUAAGUAUUUCGCUAAGGACAUUCUUCGGAGUGGCCUCGUUUCUAGGACGCUUGUCCGCUUUCCAAUACAAGUUCCAGCUCGUGGACAUGACUUUUUAUUAUCUGGCCUCAAAUCAGGUAGGACUACCCGCUGAACUUAAGCAUAUCAAUAAGCGGAGGA
rnacentral:misc_RNA from 1 species